GAGCUUGCUCCCCGGGUGACGAGUGGCGGACGGGUGAGUAAUGUCUGGGGAUCUGCCCGAUGGAGGGGGAUAACUACUGGAAACGGUAGCUAAUACCGCAUAACCUCGAAAGAGCAAAGUGGGGGACCUUCGGGCCUCACACCAUCGGAUGAACCCAGAUGGGAUUAGCUAGUAGGUGGGGUAACGGCUCACCUAGGCGACGAUCCCUAGCUGGUCUGAGAGGAUGACCAGCCACACUGGAACUGAGACACGGUCCAGACUCCUACGGGAGGCAGCAGUGGGGAAUAUUGCACAAUGGGCGCAAGCCUGAUGCAGCCAUGCCGCGUGUAUGAAGAAGGCCUUCGGGUUGUAAAGUACUUUCAGCGGGGAGGAAGGGAUGAAGGUUAAUAACCUUCGUCAUUGACGUUACCCGCAGAAGAAGCACCGGCUAACUCCGUGCCAGCAGCCGCGGUAAUACGGAGGGUGCAAGCGUUAAUCGGAAUUACUGGGCGUAAAGCGCACGCAGGCGGUUUGUUAAGUCAGAUGUGAAAUCCCCGGGCUCAACCUGGGAACUGCAUUUGAAGCUGGCAAGCUUGAGUCUCGUAGAGGGGGGUAGAAUUCCAGGUGUAGCGGUGGAAUGCGUAGAGAUCUGGAGGAAUACCGGUGGCGAAGCGGCCCCCUGGACGAAGACUGACGCUCAGGUGCGAAAGCGUGGGAGCAAACAGGAUUAGAUACCCUGGUAGUCCACGCCGUAAACGAUGUCGACUUGGAGGUUGUGCCCUUGAG
rnacentral:rRNA from 1 species